rnacentral:rRNA from 1 species
AACGAACGCUGGCGGCAUGCCUAACACAUGCAAGUCGAACGAGACCUUCGGGUCUAGUGGCGCACGGGUGCGUAACGCGUGGGAACCUGCCCUUAGGUUCGGAAUAACUCCCCGAAAGGGGUGCUAAUACCGGAUAAUGUCUUCGGACCAAAGAUUUAUCGCCUUUGGAUGGGCUCGCGUUGGAUUAGCUAGUUGGUAGGGUAAAAGCCUACCAAGGUGACGAUCCAUAGCUGGUCUGAGAGGAUGAUCAGCCACACUGGGACUGAGACACGGCCCAGACUCCUACGGGAGGCAGCAGUGGGGGAUAUUGGACAGUGGGCGAGAGGCUGAUCCAGCAAUGCCGCGUGAGUGAUGAAGGCCUUAGGGUUGUAAAGCUCUUUUGCCCGGGAUGAUAAUGACAGUACCGGGAGAAUAAGCUCCGGCUAACUCCGUG